GAUGAACGCUGACAGAAUGCUUAACACAUGCAAGUCUUUGGUGAAGCUGUGCUUGCACAGCCUAGCCAAGGCGGACGGGUGAGUAACGCGUAAGGAACUUGCCCUGCAGUCAGGGAUAACAGACGGAAACGACUGAUAAGACCUGGUAAAGUCAGGCGGACUCAUGUCCAGCCUGAUGAAAAGAGAUGCUGCAGGAGAGCCUUGCGUCCUAUUAGCUUGUUGGUGGGGUAACGGCCCACCAAGGCAAUGAUAGGUAGCCGGCCUGAGAGGGUGGACGGCCACAAGGGGACUGAGAUACGGCCCGUACUCCUACGGGAGGCAGCAGUGGGGAAUAUUGGACAAUGGGGGCAACCCUGAUCCAGCAAUUCUGUGUGCACGAUGAAGGUUUUCGGAUUGUAAAGUGCUUUCAGCAGGGAAGAAAAAAAUGACGGUACCUGCAGAAGAAGCGACGGCUAAAUACGU
rnacentral:rRNA from 1 species